GAUGAACGCUGGCGGCGUGCCUAAUACAUGCAAGUCGAGCGAACAGACGAGGAGCUUGCUCCUCUGAUGUUAGCGGCGGACGGGUGAGUAACACGUGGAUAACCUACCUAUAAGACUGGGAUAACUUCGGGAAACCGGAGCUAAUACCGGAUAACAUGUUGAACCGCAUGGUUCAACAGUGAAAGACGGUCUUGCUGCCACUUAUAGAUGGAUCCGCGCCGCAUUAGCUAGUUGGUAAGGUAACGGCUUACCAAGGCAACGAUGCGUAGCCGACCUGAGAGGGUGAUCGGCCACACUGGAACUGAGACACGGUCCAGACUCCUACGGGAGGCAGCAGUAGGGAAUCUUCCGCAAUGGGCGAAAGCCUGACGGAGCAACGCCGCGUGAGUGAAGAAGGUCUUCGGAUCGUAAAACUCUGUUAUUAGGGAAGAACAAAUGUGUAAGUAACUAUGCACGUCUUGACGGUACCUAAUCAGAAAGCCACGGCUAACUACGUG
rnacentral:rRNA from 1 species